rnacentral:miRNA from 1 species
GCAGCGAGCAUGUAGUACGAGU